rnacentral:rRNA from 1 species
UACGGAGGGUGCGAAGCGUUAUCCGGAUUUACUGGGUUUAAAGGGUGUGUAGGCGGACUAUUAAGUCAGUGGUGAAAUCCCGAGGCUCAACCUCGGAACUGCCUUCGAUACUGCGGGUCUCGAGUCCGGGAGAGGUGAGUGGAAUUCCUAGUGUAGAGGUGAAAUUCGUAGAUAUUAGGAAGAACACCAGUGGCGAAGGCGGCUCACUGGCCCGGGUACUGACGCUGAGGCGCGAAAGCGUGGGGAGCAAACAGG